rnacentral:rRNA from 1 species
ACUCAAAUGAAUAGACGGGGACCCGCACAAGCGGUGGAGUAUGUGGUUUAAUUCGACGCAACGCGAAAAACCUUACCUGGGCUCGAACGACUGGAAGUAGUCCCGAUGAAAGUUGGGGCGGCCUGUAAAGUCAGGAACCAGCCGAGGUGCUGCAUGGUUGUCGUCAGCUCGUGUCGUGAGAUGUUGGGUUAAGUCCCGCAACGAGCGCAACCCUCAUUCUGUGUUGCUAACCCGCAAGGGUGCACUCUCAGGAAACUGCCCACGAUGAGUGGGAGGAAGGUGAGGACGACGUCAAAUCACCAUGGCCCUUAUGUCCAGGGCUACACACGUACUACAAUGGCCGGUACAGAGGGCUGCAAUACCGCAAGGUGGAGCUAAUCCUAAAAACCGGUCCCAGUUCGGAUUGUGGGCUGAAAUUCGUCCACAUGAAGGUGGAAUCGCUAGUAAUCGCGAAUCAGAAGGUCGCGGUGAAUACGUUCCCGGGUCUUGUACACACCGCCCGU